UACGGGGGGGGCAAGCGUUGUUCGGAAUUACUGGGCGUAAAGGCUCGUAGGCGGCCAACUAAGUCAGACGUGAAAUCCCUCAGCUUAACUGGGGAACUGCGUCUGAUACUGGAUGGCUUGAGUUCGGGAGAGGGAUGCGGAAUUCCAGGUGUAGCGGUGAAAUGCGUAGAUAUCGAGAGGAACACCAGUGGCGAAGGCGAGUCCCUGGACAACACCUGACACUGAGGCACGAAAGCUAGGGGAGCAAACAGG
rnacentral:rRNA from 1 species